ACCGCCCGUCGCUACUACCGAUUGAAUGGUUUAGUGAGGCCUUCUGAUUGGCGCCGCCGCGCCGGCAACGGAGCAGCGGAUGUCGAAAAGUUGGUCAAACUUGAUCAUUUAGAGGAAGUAAAAGUCGUAACAAGGUUUCCGUAGGUGAACCUGCGGAAGGAUCAUUA
rnacentral:rRNA from 1 species